CGUAGGGGCAAGCGUUAUCCGGAUUUACUGGGUGUAAAGGGAGCGUAGGCGGAUGGACAAGUCUGAUGUGAAAGGCUGGGGCUCAACCCCGGGACUGCAUUGGAAACUGCCCGUCUUGAGUGCCGGAGAGGUAAGCGGAAUUCCUAGUGUAGCGGUGAAAUGCGUAGAUAUUAGGAGGAACACCAGUGGCGAAGGCGGCUUACUGGACGGUAACUGACGUUGAGGCUCGAAAGCGUGGGGAGCAAACAGGAUU
rnacentral:rRNA from 1 species